rnacentral:lncRNA from 1 species
AAGAUAUACUUCAACAUUGUUGUAAUAUGUGAAGUCUUGCUUGACAAUACUCUGGGCACCUGAUUGUGGAAGUUAGAAUGGAAAUUGAAACAAUAAAAUUCUAACUCUAAUAGAAUACUAAAUAAACUUUAAUUAGACCAUAAUAAUGCUAAGCAAGCUUUAAUCAAAUUCAAAGAAACUUCAAAGGAAUUAUAAAGAAAUAAUAAGAAAUCUUAAAGAAUUAUUAGAAUGAUUACAAAUAUAUCUCAAAAACAUCUCAAAUCAAUCUUAAUUUAAUCCAAAAUAAAAUCCUAUUGGAAUUCAUUCAAACUUUAGGCCAAAAAUUAACUAUAUCUUAAAUCCUAAAGAAACUCAAAUAAAAUCCUAAACCAUAAAUCAAAUCCUGACCAAAUCCUAAGCAAAUCUUAAAUCCUAAACCAAAUACUAAAUCCUAAAACAAACACUAAAUCCUAAACCAAACACUAAAUCCUAAACCAAAUACUAAACCUUAAACCAAAUCCUAAUCAAAUCCUAACCCUUAAUCAAAUCCUAAUCAAACCCUAAAUCCUAAAUCAAAGCAUAAAUCAAACUCUAAAUCCUAAAUUAAAUCCUAAAUCCUAAAUCAAACCCUAAUUCUAAAUCAAAUUAUAACCGAAUCCUAAAUCCUAAACCAAAUCCUAAUUCUAAA